UCGAGAAUUUUUCACAAUGGACGAAAGUCUGAUGGAGCGACGCCGCGUGGAGGAUGAAGGUUCUUGGAUUGUAAACUCCUGUCACUGCAGAACAAGGAUAGGCGUGUGAACAGCACGUCUAUUUGAUGGUAUGCGGAGAGGAAGGGACGGCUAACUCUGUGCCAGCAGCCGCGGUAAGACAGAGGUCCCGAGCGUUGUUCGGAUUCAUUGGGCGUAAAGGGUGUGUAGGAGGUUGGGUAAGUCAGGUGUGAAAUCUCACAGCUUAACUGUGAAACUGCGCUUGAUACUGCUCGGCUAGAGGAUCGGAGGGGGUAACGGAAUUCAUGGUGUAGCAGUGAAAUGCGUAGAUAUCAUGAGGAACACCGGUGGCGAAGGCGGUUACCUGGAAGAUUCCUGACUCUGAAACACGAAAGCCAGGGGAGCAAACGG
rnacentral:rRNA from 1 species